rnacentral:rRNA from 1 species
GCAACGCGAAGAACCUUACCUGGUCCUGACAUCCCGGAGACCCUUAGGAAACUAGGGGGUGCUUCCAUCUGGAAGAAUCUGGAGACAGGUGCUGCAUGGCUGUCGUCAGCUCGUGUCGUGAGAUGUUGGGUUAAGUCCCGCAACGAGCGCAACCCUUGCCUUUAGUUGCCAGCAGUUCGGCUGGGCACUCUAAAGGGACUGCCGGUGUUAAACCGGAGGAAGGUGGGGAUGACGUCAAGUCCUCAUGGCCUUUAUGACCAGGGCUACACACGUACUACAAUGGCCGAUACAAAGGGCAGCGACACUGCGAGGUGAAGCCAACCCCGUAAAAUCGGUCUCAGUCCGGAUUGGAGUCUGCAACUCGACUCCAUGAAGUUGGAAUCGCUAGUAAUCGUGGAUCAGCAUGCCACGGUGAAUACGUUCCCGGGCCUU